AUUGAACGCUGGCGGCAGGCCUAACACAUGCAAGUCGAACGAGUGGCGGACGGGUGAGUAAUGUCUGGGAAACUGCCCGUUGGAGGGGGAUAACCACUUGAAACGGUAGCUUAUACCGCAUACUCUCGGUUGUGCCCAGGUGGGAGUAGCUAGUUGGCGGGGUAACGGCUCACCUAGGCGACGAUCCCUAGCUGGUCUGAGAGGAUGACCAGCCACACUGGAACGGAGACACGGUCCAGACUCCUACGGGAGGCAGCAGUGGGGAAUAUUGCACAAUGGGCGCAAGCCUGAUGCAGCCAUGCCGCGUGUAUGAAGAAGGCCUUCGGGUUGUAAAGUACUUUCAGCGAGGAGGCGUUACCCGCAGAAGAAGCACCGGCUAACUCCGUGCCAGCCGCCGCGGUAAUAC
rnacentral:rRNA from 1 species